AUUGAACGCUGGCGGCAUGCCUUACACAUGCAAGUCGAACGGCAGCAUGAUCUAGCUUGCUCGAUUGAUGGCGAGUGGCGAACGGGUGAGUAAUACAUCGGAACGUGCCCUGUAGUGGGGGAUAACUAGUCGAAAGAUUAGCUAAUACCGCAUACGACCUGAGGGUGAAAGUGGGGGACCGCAAGGCCUCAUGCUAUAGGAGCGGCCGAUGUCUUAUUAGCUAGUUGGUGAGGUAAAGGCUCACCAAGGCGACGAUCAGUAGCUGGUCUGAGAGGACGAUCAGCCACACUGGGACUGAGACACGGCCCAGACUCCUACGGGAGGCAGCAGUGGGGAAUUUUGGACAAUGGGCGAAAGCCUGAUCCAGCAAUGCCGCGUGUGUGAAGAAGGCCUUCGGGUUGUAAAGCACUUUUGUCCGGAAAGAAAUGGCUCUGGUUAAUACCUGGGGUCGAUGACGGUACCGGAAGAAUAAGGACCGGCUAACUACGUG
rnacentral:rRNA from 1 species